rnacentral:lncRNA from 1 species
UUUUCUAAAAACUCUGCAAUGCCCACGCCACGGAGCAAACGGGUUCAAGGAGUGCAUAGGAAUGGGUUCCAACCACCCUUUACAUUUCAUGCAAUUUAAUAUAUUGCUUUGUUCUUGCUUUAUUUUCCUUUUUCUUUUGCAAUUAUGCAUUCAUUUUCAUCUUCUUUAUUUUUCUUUCUUUUCAAUACUCACUUGAGUAUUUUUUCUAUUAUGUUGUCGUGAGACAACUUGUUAUUAAAAGUUGUUGGAUGCGAUUCUAACACUAAAAAGAACAAUUAUUUUGUUCUUAAAGACGCAUGAAUUACAUCAUAAAUCCCGAGACUUGAACGAACACUUCAAAAAAAGGAUUCUUAUCGGAUCCUGCAGUUAGAAGGACUUUUAUCCAGGUCUUAAAGUAACAAUGGAUAAUUAUGUUUACGUUACCAAAAAUUGGUGUAAACAGUAACAGAUGUCUCAGAAUGUCAAAGUAUGUCACCCAACUGCUAUAAAAGAUCCUCUAACAUGCAGCACCACGGCGUGCCUUCUAAAUCCAAUCUACUGCAACACGCAUCUCAAGAGAUAGCCAUCCAUUUUGGCUAUUGAAAUUGCUGUACACUUGUGCUGUAUUGUGCAUUAACUUCUUCAAACUGAUAAGACCAAAAUGUGAAGUAAUGAUUUGGACUUUGGAUGCUCUUGUCAUCGAUUUCGUAAUUGUAGGUUCUGUUAGAAUGUGAUGGUGAAAGUCUCAAGUGUAUAUUGAUUUAAAUAGCUAUUUACUUCACCUCACAGUUCAUGAAAAACUUGUAAUAUAGCAGCACCAUUUGUGAAAAUCGUGUUAUCACAAAGGGCGAAGAUGUGAGAAUCUUCGAUUCAUAAUUUUCUUAGGUACUAUUCAAGCAGAACAAUUGAUUUCAUUUUGAACAAUGGUUCUUAUGACAGUACUAUCCAUGGUUACCUGUUUCAGUUAGUGUUUCUGUGAAAUCCAUCUCUCUUCCCCAUCAAACUGGUUGAACAUUAAGCCGCGCUCCUUUUAAACUUUUCACACAAUUGAUAGAAGUAAU